rnacentral:rRNA from 1 species
UACAGGAGGUCCCGAGCGUUGUUCGGAUUCACUGGGCGUAAAGGGUGCGUAGGUGGUUAGGUAAGUCCGAUGGUGAAAUCUCCAGGCUCAACCUGGAAAUGGCAUUGGAUACUAUUUAGCUUGAGGAGUGGAGGGGGGACUGGAAUUCUCGGUGUAGCAGUGAAAUGCGUAGAUAUCGAGAGGAACACCAGUGGCGAAGGCGAGUCCCUGGACACUUCCUGACACUGAGGCACGAAAGCUAGGGGAGCAAACAGG